rnacentral:rRNA from 1 species
CGCGUAGGCGGGCUCGCAAGUCAGGGGUGAAAGCCCGCGGCUCAACCGCGGAAGCGCCUUUGAUACUGCGGGCCUCGAGGGGGGUAGGGGCGUGCGGAACUUCCGGUGGAGCGGUGAAAUGCGUAGAUAUCGGAAGGAACACCGGUGGCGAAAGCGGCGCGCUGGACCCCUUCUGACGCUGAGGCGCGAAAGCCAGGGGAGCAAACG